AGCUAAGUGGCGCACGGGUGAGUAAUGUAUAGGUAAUAUGCCUCUUACUAAGGGAUAACAAUUGGAAACGAUUGCUAAUACCUUAUAUUCCUUUUUAUCAAAAGAUAAAAAGGGAAAGAUUUAUUGGUAAGAGAUUAGCCUGUAUUGUAUCAGUUAGUUGGUGGGGUAAUGGCCUACCAAGACGAUGACGCAUAACUGGUUUGAGAGGAUGAUCAGUCACACUGGAACUGAGACACGGUCCAGACUCCUACGGGAGGCAGCAGUGGGGAAUAUUGCACAAUGGACGAAAGUCUGAUGCAGCAACGCCGCGUGGAGGAUGACACAUUUCGGUGCGUAAACUCCUUUUAUAUAAGAAGAUAAUGACGGUAUUAUAUGAAUAAGCACCGGCUAACUCCGUGCCAGCAGCCGCGGUAAUACGGAGGGUGCAAGCGUUACUCGGAAUCACUGGGCGUAAAGAGCGUGUAGGCGGAUUGAUAAGUUUGAAGUGAAAUCCUAUAGCUUAACUAUAGAACUGCUUUGAAAACUGUUAAUCUAGAAUGUGGGAGAGGUAGAUGGAAUUUCUGGUGUAGGGGUAAAAUCCGUAGAGAUCAGAAGGAAUACCGAUUGCGAAGGCGAUCUACUGGAACAAUAUUGACGCUGAGACGCGAAAGCGUGGGGAGCAAACAGGAUUAGAUACCCUGGUAGUCCACGCCCUAAACGAUGUACACUAGUUGUUGUGAGGCUCGACCUUGCAGUAAUGCAGUUAACACAUUAAGUGUACCGCCUGGGGAGUACGGUCGCAAGAUUAAAACUCAAAGGAAUAGACGGGGACCCGCACAAGCGGUGGAGCAUGUGGUUUAAUUCGACGAUACACGAAGAACCUUACCUGGACUUGACAUAGUAAGAAUGAUUUAGAGAUAGAUUAGUGUCUGCUUGCAGAAACUUG
rnacentral:rRNA from 2 species